rnacentral:lncRNA from 1 species
UGCCGUUGGCGCCAUGUACGUCCGCGAAUAUUUUGAAGAGGCGGCCCGCCAAUCGAUGAACGAGAUGGUCAAAAAUAUCCGCAGCGUUUUCUCGGAAAUAAUCGACGAACUCGAGUGGAUGGACAAUGAAACCCGUAAACCUUUGGGUGCUGACGGUUUCAACUGGUUAAAACUGCAUGUGAUAUAUUUGACUGGUACGAAGAAAAGGGAGCCGAUUAGUGAACGUCAUGCCUAUGCCGAGAAAAUAAUGCCGGAAAUUCUCGACUCAGCUGAUAAUCCUUUAACGGGAAGACAAUGGUGGGUCAAUUCAGAUGAACCGUGGCAAACCUUAGCAGCUUGUAUGGAAGUCGCAAAUGCAUUAAGAUGUCCAGAAGGACCGGAAGCUUAUGUUUGUCACUUACCUAUCCAUCAAGACGGAUCGUGUAAUGGAUUACAACAUUAUGCAGCUUUAGGGCGAGAUACAGUUGGAGCCGAAAGCGUCAAUUUAACACCGACUGAUAGACCACAAGACGUUUACAGCAACGUGGCCAAUCUAGUUGAAAGGGAACGUUCCAAAGAUGCUGCGAAUAAUGUUGAAAUUUCUCAACUUCUUGCUGGACUGAUCAAUCGAAAGAUCAUCAAGCAAACAGUAAUGACGACAGUAUACGGUGUCACGCGGUAAUACGGUGCCCGAUUACAAAUUGCCAAACAGCUUAAAGAACUACCGAAUCUAACACCUGAACAAGUUCAAGUUGAAUCUGUUUAUUUAGCUGACAAAACAUUUCAAAGUUUACAAGGUUUACGUCGGCUAAAGAUAUUCAAGACUGGUUUACUGAAAGUGCUAAAUUGAUUUCAACCGUCGCCGGAGAAAGUGUCGAAUGGAUCACUCCGAUUGGGUUACCAGUUGUGCAGUCGUACAACAAUAAUCCUUACGAAGCAAUUCGACCGAAUGCGAUUAAACAACGCAACGCAUUCCCACCAAACUUUAUUCACUCCUCGGACUCGAGCCACAUGAUGCUAACGGCGCUCUAUUGCCAACGAAAAGGCAUCACUUUUGCGUCCAUUCACGAUUGUUUCUGGACUCACCCUUGCACUGUGGCAGAAAUGAAUAAGAUCUGUCGACAACAAUUCGUAUCUCUCCACUCUCAGCCUAUUUUGGAAGAUCUUUCAAAGUUUUUGGUCUCACAGUUUGCCGUCCGAGCGAGUGGUGCCGAUGCUGUUGACGAUGACACGCCCAAAGGACUUGCAUGACACAGAUUGAAUCAAAUUAUAAGUGAAGUGCCUAGACGCGGCAUGUUUGAUUUGCGCCUUGUUCUCGACUCGGUCUACUUCUUUUCCUAAACUAUAAAGGAUUAUCGGACGUGUUCGUUGGACAAAAAGUAACAACAGUUAGGAUGGUUGUAAAAUCUGUGCAUUCGUAUAAUUAGUAUUGUCUAGUCUUUUCCACAAUAAACCCGACGUGGUAGUUCCUAAUUUUUUCAUUGUUUAUAAGGAGAUAAUCAACAAGAUAAACAUCAAUCGCCUACACACGAUAAUCUAUUGUUAAUUUUCAUCAAGGAAGACCCGCCAUUUAAUGAAAGACAGACGAUGAAAGAGAAUCUGGUAGUUCCACGAUAUGAAACCAACAGGAAAUAAUUCUCGUCCCAAUUAAUUUUUUUAAAAUACGCAUUAAUUUUGCUGACCGAGACUGCACUAGUAACGAAACGAUUGCAAAUUUUCCGAAGUUUGGGGAUAAAAAAGGAAAAAAAUAUGAGGAGUUACCGCUAUGAAUUGAGAAAAGCAUAUAGAGAAACUUUGACGAAGA